rnacentral:rRNA from 1 species
GACGAACGCUGGCGGCGUGCUUAACACAUGCAAGUCGAGCGGUAAGGCCCUUUCAGGGGUACACGAGCGGCGAACGGGUGAGUAACACGUGGGUGACCUGCCCUCAGCUCUGGGAUAAGCCUGGGAAACUGGGUCUAAUACUGGAUAUGACUCCACGGUGCAUGUCGUGGGGUGGAAAGCCUUGUGCGGCUGAGGAUGGGCCCGCGGCCUAUCAGCUUGUUGGGGGGUGAUGGCCUACCAAGGCGACGACGGGUAGCCGGCCUGAGAGGGCGACCGGCCACACUGGGACUGAGACACGGCCCAGACUCCUACGGGAGGCAGCAGUGGGGAAUCUUGCGCAAUGGGCGAAAGCCUGACGCAGCGACGCCGCGUGAGGAUGAC